rnacentral:rRNA from 1 species
GCGUUGUCCGGAUUUAUUGGGCGUAAAGCGCGUGUAGGCGGCCAGAUAGGUCCGCUGUGAAAACUCGAGGCUCAACCUCGAGCUGUCGGUGGAAACCAUUUGGCUAGAGUCCGGAAGAGGAGAGCGGAAUUCCCGGUGUAGCGGUGAAAUGCGCAGAUAUCGGGAAGAACACCCGUGGCGAAGGCGGCUCUCUGGGACGGUACUGACGCUAAGACGCGAAAGCGUG